CCCCUUGCUGGUCACUACAUCCACUACAGAGGAGGCUUUGACUUCUCUUGAAGAACAUGAGGUCCUCACACAGCUGUGAGGAAAGACCACAAUGAAGCAGCAGGUGAUACAACUCGCUGCUUUCAAAUAAAAAGGUGGAGGCAGUUUGGUCACAGGGUGGAGGGAGAAAGGUGGAGGCAGUUUGGUCACAGGAUGGAGGGAGAAAGGUGGAGGAAGGUGGAGCAGGCCUGGACAAGCGCGGGCCAAGGUCAACCUGUGGCCACAGAACGCAUGCAGGACCCCCCAGGGGUCUGUAAGGAGGGCUGAUGCCUCUCUGGCAUCAGGUGACCCCCCCACCCCACCCGAUACACCCCGUCACUACGUGUAACAAGGAAACACACGUCUUUCUGAAGGGACAUUUUCUGCCCCGUCAUUGUGUGGGGGGGCAGCGACAGGCGCAUUCAGACGGGACGACGCGCGCAGCCAGCGUGUAAGAUGAGAGUCUGUUUGGUAACUGACGCUGGUGUUUAGAGACCAUUGUUCUGUGAGUCACUCACCUGUAUGUUACCUGGGCAGCACAGCAAUAUAUAUAUAAAUAUAUA
ensembl:lncRNA